rnacentral:rRNA from 1 species
AAGUGAGUGGCGAACGGGUGAGUAACACGUGGGUAACCUGCCCAGAAGUAGGGGAUAACACCUGGAAACAGAUGCUAAUACCGUAUAACAGAGAAAACCGCAUGGUUUUCUUUUAAAAGAUGGCUCUGCUAUCACUUCUGGAUGGACCCGCGGCGUAUUAGCUAGUUGGUGAGGUAAAGGCUCACCAAGGCAGUGAUACGUAGCCGACCUGAGAGGGUAAUCGGCCACAUUGGGACUGAGACACGGCCCAGACUCCUACGGGAGGCAGCAGUAGGGAAUCUUCCACAAUGGACGCAAGUCUGAUGGAGCAACGCCGCGUGAGUGAAGAAGGGUUUCGGCUCGUAAAGCUCUGUUGUUAAAGAAGAACGUGGGUAAGAGUAACUGUUUACCCAGUGACGGUAUUUAACCAGAAAGCCACGGCUAACUACGUG